rnacentral:rRNA from 1 species
CCUACGGGAGGCAGCAGUGGGGAAUAUUGCACAAUGGGGGAAACCCUGAUGCAGCGACGCCGCGUGAGUGAAGAAGUAUUUCGGUAUGUAAAGCUCUAUCAGCAGGGAAGAAAAUGACGGUACCUGAUUAAGAAGCCCCGGCUAACUACGUGCCAGCAGCCGCGGUAAUACGGAGGGGGCAAGCGUUAUCCGGAUUUACUGGGUGUAAAGGGAGCGUAGACGGCAGCACAAGUCUGGAGUGAAAUGCCGGGGCUUAACCCCGGAACUGCUUUGGAAACUGUGCAGCUGGAGUGCAGGAGAGGUAAGUGGAAUUCCUAGUGUAGCGGUGAAAUGCGUAGAUAUUAGGAGGAACACCAGUGGCGAAGGCGGCUUACUGGACUGUAACUGACGUUGAGGCUCGAAAGCGUGGGGAGCAAACAGGAUUAGAUACCCUUGUAGUC